rnacentral:rRNA from 1 species
GUGUCAGCAGCCGCGGUAAUACGGAGGGUGCGAGCGUUGUCCGGAAUCACUGGGUGUAAAGGGUGUGUAGGCGGGACUGUAAGUCAGAAGUGAAAUCCCACGGCUCAACCGUGGAACUGCUUCUGAUACUGCAGUUCUUGAGUAUCGGAGAGGUUGCUAGAAUUCGUGGUGUAGGGGUGAAAUGCGUAGAUAUCACGAGGAAUACCAGAGGCGUAGGCGGGCAACUGAACGAUUACUGACGCUGAGGCACGAAAGCGUGGGGAGCAAACAGGAUUAGAUACCCUGGUAGUCCACGCUGUAAACGAUGGAUGCUCGAUGUCGCCCCUUUUUUGGGGCGGUGUCUGAGCUAACGCAUUAAGCAUCCCACCUGGGGAGUACGCUCGCAAGAGUGAAACUUAAAGGAAUUGACGGGG